GUGUGUGUGUGUGUGUGUGUGUGUGUGUGUGAGGGGUUUAGUUCAAUGGUGAUCUAAACGAAUAGGUACACUGAGUAAGUGUUAUAAUUGGUCAUCUGUUAGGUUCUAAGUUCACAGCUGAGGCUGGAGCUAGGGAUCUGUAUUAGGCUUCUGAGUUAGCCGAUUGCUCUAAUAUAUAUAUAUAUAUAUAUAUAUAUA